UGCUAAUAAAACUGUGGGACUGGGAUAAAGGGUGGGUGUGCACUCAAAUAUUUGAGGGACAUUCACACUAUGUGAUGCAGGUUACUUUCAAUCCAAAGGAUAUUAACACCUUUGCAAGUGCAUCCCUUGACCGCACUACAAAGAUAUGGAGUUUGGGUUCUCCAGAUCCAAACUUCACACUUGAUGGGCAUCAAAAGGGUGUCAACUGUGUUGACUACUUCACUGGUGGUGACAGGCCCUAUUUGAUUACUGGUUCUGAUGACUCCACCGCAAAGGUCUGGGAUUACCAGACGAAGAGCUGUGUUCAGACUCUUGAAGGGUAUACACAUAAUAUUUCUGUUGUUUGUUUCCAUCCUGAGCUCCCUAUAAUCAUUACUGGAUCUGAAGAUGGUACAGUUCGUAUAUGGCAUUCGACAACUUACAGACUUGAGAACACACUAAACUAUGGCCUUGAGAGAGUCUGGGCUGUUGGAUACAUGAAGGGGUCUAGAAGGUAAGAUCAUUUGCAUUCU